GCAGUGACAGGUGGUGCAUGGCUGUCGUCAGCUCGUGUCGUGAGAUGUUGGGUUAAGUCCCGCAACGAGCGCAACCCACGUCGUUAGUUGCCAGCAUUCAGUUGGGCACUCUAGCGAGACCGCCGGUGAUAAACCGGAGGAAGGUGUGGAUGACGUCAAGUCAUCAUGCCCCUUACAUCCUGGGCUACACACGUACUACAAUGCUACGGACAAAGGGCCGCAAGCUCGCGAGAGUUAGCAAAUCCCAUAAACCGUGGCUCAGUUCAGAUCGUAGGCUGCAACUCGCCUACGUGAAGGAGGAAUCGCUAGUAAUCGCAGGUCAGCAUACUGCGGUGAAUACGUUCCCGGGCCUUGUACACACCGCCCGUCACACCAUGGAAGUGGCCACG
rnacentral:rRNA from 1 species